rnacentral:lncRNA from 1 species
CUUGAACGCACGAACAAAACGCCGCUAUUUGGAUAUAACUAUGGAUUAUUUUGAACCAAACCAACAUUUGUUAUUGAAGUAGAAGUCCUGGGAGUGCAUUCUGACGAAGAACAGCAAAGGAGACUGCAGUACAAAAAAAUCUUCUGCAAGAGGUCGAAGCAGUGGGUGGAGAAGAAAGUGUAAGAGACUUGUCCACUUGGCUGUGGAGCGAAGAAAGGACCAGACGGUUGUCUACAAGGAGCCAGAGUCCCAGCCCCCCAAACCUAACAUACCUACCAACAUUGCCACAGCAUCAAAGCUAGCUAAACCAGCUGCCAUUACCCAACACCAGAAGAACAUUCAACCAACACAACAUCCAUAUUCAGUUAGACUGAUGUUGUUGUAUAAAAUAGAAUGCCUAGUAUGCUCACAACUGCAUUGUGGAAUAGAUAUUGCAAGCUGUAGUACAUAUGUUAUUUUAUAUCAUCAUUUUUACAAGUGUACUGACAAGUGACUAAAUGAUUCCAACUGCAUCAGAAACC